rnacentral:rRNA from 1 species
AUUGAACGCUGGCGGCAUGCCUAACACAUGCAAGUCGAACGAGACCUUCGGGUCUAGUGGCGCACGGGUGCGUAACGCGUGGGAACCUGCCUUUAGGUUCGGAAUAACAGUGAGAAAUUACUGCUAAUACCGGAUGAUGUCUUCGGACCAAAGAUUUAUCGCCUUUAGAUGGGCCCGCGUUGGAUUAGCUAGUUGGUGGGGUAAAGGCCUACCAAGGCGACGAUCCAUAGCUGGUCUGAGAGGAUGAUCAGCCACACUGGGACUGAGACACGGCCCAGACUCCUACGGGAGGCAGCAGUGGGGAAUAUUGGACAAUGGGCGAAAGCCUGAUCCAGCAAUGCCGCGUGAGUGAUGAAGGCCUUAGGGUUGUAAAGCUCUUUUACCCGAGAUGAUAAUGACAGUAUCGGGAGAAUAAGCUCCGGCUAACUCCGUG